AUGGCAAUGCAAGACCAUCCUUCUCCGUGUGGCCACCACCCCCAAAUCCUCUUGGAUAAAAAAUGUUUAGUGGGCGAGUUGAAAAAUUCCACUACCGCAAAAUCCAAGAAUAGCAAAGGGGUUCACUUGGAGGUUUCUUUUGAAGCAGUUGACCCUCCAGCCAUCUCACUGUGCCUGGUCAGCUGCGUUGAUCAGACCGGGGAUCGCUUGACAGCACCGCCUCGUAUACUUGGUGUAACUGGAGGCUUUGUACUGCUGGCUAUCACCUUCUCGGACAGUGUCAACCGUUACUUGUUCAUCGACUAUUUUGUUUACAAAGCAGGGCCUGAUUUCGCCUCUCUUCAUCUUCUUGCAAGGCCAUACCCGUCUUCUUUUUCGCCAAACAUGGCUGCCAUCUUGCCUGUUAGUGAUAACAGUGAAGACUUUGCUGUCAUUUUCCCACAUGUUGAAUAUUUCAGACUUGAGUCUCGCGAACAUUACACACUCCACAUAUAUCGAUCUGACACGAAUGAUUGGCACUCUCAGGUCGCUUGUAUCGCUGAGGAUAAUGAGACAAGGAAUGCCAGGGAUAAGCUAUUGCUUCAUAAUACCAUGAGCGUGGCAUAUGCAGAAAAGGGUAUCAUAGGUUGGAUUGAUCUCUGGUGGGGAAUUCUCUUAUGCAAUGUUUUGGAUAAAAAGCCUACCAUCCGUUUUGUUCCGUUGCCAGUUCCGGAACCGUGUGAUACGUCUGAGUUCCAUUUGAUGUUUGAGAAUCUCACUCCAAGACCACACCGUCAUGUGACGAUAUUCAAUGAUUUGAUCAAGUGUGUUGAGUUAGAUUUUCAUGUGCAAGAUGCUUUCUUCAACAUGAAGCGAGCAAAGGAUUAUGGCUGGAUGGCUAAAACAUGGACUAGAUCAAUUUAUUCAGAUGUUUGGUGUGAUGGCUUGACGAUUGAUACGUCUGAGAUAUCUUUCACCGACUCAAGUUUGCCGAAUUUGUUGCCUGGGAUGUUUGAUGAGGAAAACAAUUUGACUUGGAAGAAAUUGACUAGUGCUCGUCCUACAUUAAGCUUGCUUGAUGACAAUGUUAUUUACAUUAUGGCGAACGAGAGCAUGUGCCAUCCGACAGCAUAUGUACUUACUGUGGACACCAAAAGUUUGAAGCUCGAGUCUGGUGCGCAGUGUGCUCCUCAAAAGACGGCGUGGUUCGAACCAACAUAUGAACCGUGUGUUCUUUUUAGCUCUUUUGGCACGACUUCAGAGUUGGUUAAAGAAUUUGAAACCAAAGGGACAAUAUUUGAAAUCAAGGAAGGGCCGGUGCUCUCGGUGGUGUCGAAGCGUCUCCGUGUGCUGCGGAAGAAGCAGAAUCGCAUCGCGCAGAUGGAGGAGUCCGUCGCUGCCGGCAAGAUGCUUAACCAGGAGCAGAAGGAGCUCAUGCACUCCAAGCCCGUCAUCGCCGCGCUCAUUGACGAGCUUGAGCGCCUCCGCGUACCACUCUCCACUGCUCUCACCAAGGAGCUCUCCACCGUCCCUGCACCUGCUGCCGGUUCCUCAUCCUUUGGCUCCGAUUUGUCCAUCCAGGACCUCCUCGCGCUCAUCUACUUCGGCUCCCUUUUUUAUGUCAAGUCACCGAACGAGUUCAUCGCCACCAUGGUUGCGCGCAAGAACGAACGGAGCAGCUGCAUCACCCACGGCUACGUAUGGGAUGAUACCGUGGACCUGCUCGUGGAGAACGACCUUGACGCAGUGUCUGCUGUAGCGGCCCUUGCCGCGACUCGCCCUUCUUCCGCAGAUGGUGUCUCCCACCAUGACGCACUCCAGGCAUGUGCCCAUCAUGCCCGCCUAUGGCUAACCCGUGCUGAUGCGCCGAUCCACCCUGGCUCCUCUGUUACAUAUGCUGCGGUGAGGUCCAAGUUAGACAGGAUCAUGGCAUCAGACUACUACACAGCACCUGCAGUUGCUGGGAACCAUGGAGCUGAAGGUCUGCAGGCACAGAUGAGCAUGACCGACUCACCAGAGGCACCAUCACUCAAGGAGACCCUAGCUGCUGAAAAUCACAAGGAGGACGAGGAAGAUUCCUCGCAUGCCACAGAAAUCGACAAUGAUCAUUAG
rnacentral:rRNA from 1 species